UUUUGCUUGACUUCGUUUUUUUAACUGUCUUAGUGAAACAACUUAAAAGAGGAAUUUAUCAAUGGGACGAUUUUCACAACUAAGAUAAUUCACUUCUUUAUUCAGUUUGAAAACCUAACCGUUACAACCCCACACCAGUAGGGGGCCGCUGCUCUGAGCAGACCGAUUCUCCCGUUAGAAGAAGAAAAAGCGACGGGACCAGCACCACGCGGCUCAGCUCACGGAGAGAUGAAUCCGGAUGGAGACAUUUGAGGAGAAGAUGGAUUAGCUGCUCAUGCUCUAAAGGAGCUCCAUGGCACCUCCCUCUGCUCCAAAUCACAGCGUGCCAUUUGCCCAACAGCAGCUGGGCCAAAUAUCCAGUUAAAAAAAUAUGGCUGUGUACAGAUUCCUACGCCAAAGCUGUGGACCGGUGUCGGCGGCUGAGGGACACUUCCAGCAUCCAGACAGAAGAUGCAGCAAGUGUCCAAAAAAGGCAGC